rnacentral:rRNA from 1 species
UACGGAGGGUGCAAGCGUUGUUCGGAAUCAUUGGGCGUAAAGCGCGUGUAGGCGGCUUGGCAAGUCAGUUGUGAAAGCCCGGGGCCCAACCCCGGAACUGCAUCUGAAACUGCCUGGCUAGAGUCCCGGAGAGGAAGGCAGAAUUCCCGGUGUAGGGGUGAAAUCCGUAGAUAUCGGGAGGAAUACCAGCGGCGAAGGCGGCCUUCUGGACGGUGACUGACGCUGAGGCGCGAAAGCGUGGGGAGCAAACAGG